rnacentral:rRNA from 1 species
UACAGAGGUCUCAAGCGUUGUUCGGAUUCAUUGGGCGUAAAGGGUGCGUAGGCGGCGCGGUAAGUCGGGUGUGAAAUCUCGGAGCUUAACUCCGAAACUGCAUUCGAUACUGCCGUGCUUGAGGACUGGAGAGGAGACUGGAAUUUACGGUGUAGCGGUGAAAUGCGUAGAUAUCGGGAGGAACACCAGUGGCGAAGGCGGCUCUCUGGACAGAUACUGACGCUGAGGCGCGAAAGCGUGGGAAGCAAACAGG